rnacentral:rRNA from 1 species
AAAAAUAAUAGUAAGUGCGAUUGUAUAUCUGCCACUGCAGCAUCAUCUUACGUUGGUGGGAUAUUUGCCUACCAAGGAUUCGACGCUUACGGGGAAUUAGGGUUUGACUCCGGAGAAUGAGCAUGAGAAACAGCUCAUACAUCUAAGGAAGGCAGCAGGCGCGGAAAUUGCCCAAUGUAUCUUUUAUACGAGGCAGUGACAAGAAAUGGUAGGCACUUUUGUGCACUAUCGAGGGUUAGUGGUAUCUUUGCUAACCGUGACUCGUGGGCAAGCUCGGUGCCAGCAGCCGCGGUAAUUCCGACACAGGGAGUUUUCCAUUUGGUUGCUGCAGUUAAAAAGUUCGUAGUUCACUGACUCUUUCACUAUAAGCAAAGCCGAAUGCUCCAAGUUUUUUAGCAGUAUUUAUAGUAUGAAAUUAUAGCGCGGCAUUGAACGUAGUUUGGGGUACUCGAUAGGGACAGGUGAAAUAGGAUGAUCUAUCGAAGACCCACGGUAGCGGAGGCUCCCAACGAAGUCCAAGUGUCACGAUCAAGAACUAAAGUCAGGGGAUAGACGACGAUUAGACACCGUUUUAUUCCUGACCCUAAACGAUGUCGCCUAGCUGAUGGGAUUUUUUUCAUUUGCCAAGGAGAAAUCGUAAGGUUUCAGACUCUGGGGGAAGUAUGAUCGCAAGGUUGAAACUUGAAGGGAUUGACGGAGAGGUACCACCAGACGUGGAGUCUGCGGCUCAAUUCGACUCAACACGCAAACAUUACUAGGCCCAGAAGCU